UACGUAGGGUGCAAGCGUUAAUCGGAAUUACUGGGCGUAAAGGGCUCGUAGGCGGCCAACUAAGUCGGAUGUGAAAUCCCCAGGCUUAACCUGGGAAUUGCAUCCGAUACUGGAUGGCUUGAAUCCGGGAGAGGGAUGCGGAAUUCCAGGUGUAGCGGUGAAAUGCGUAGAUAUCUGGAGGAACACCGGUGGCGAAGGCGGCAUCCUGGACCGGCAUUGACGCUGAGGAGCGAAAGCCAGGGGAGCAAACGGG
rnacentral:rRNA from 1 species